CACGUAGGGUGCGAGCGUUGUCCGGAAUUAUUGGGCGUAAAGAGCUCGUAGGCGGUGUGUCGCGUCGGCCGUGAAAACCUGCAGCUUAACUGUGGGCUUGCGGUCGAUACGGGCAUCACUGGAGUUCGGCAGGGGAGACUGGAAUUCCUGGUGUAGCGGUGAAAUGCGCAGAUAUCAGGAGGAACACCGGUGGCGAAGGCGGGUCUCUGGGCCGGUACUGACGCUGGAGGCACGAAAGCGUGGGGAGCAAACAGG
rnacentral:rRNA from 1 species